AUGGGAAAAACCCUCGGGGAAGCCGUCCUGCUGCUCCCAGGGAUCCCCAAAAUCCCAGGGAUGUCUUUCCCCAAAAUCCCAGGUUUUUUCUCCAAAAUCCCAGGAUUUUUCCCCAAAAUCCCAGGAUUUUUCCUCAAAAUCUCACGGUUUUUUCCCCAAAUUCCCAGGUUUUUUCCCCAAAAUCCCAGGUUUUUCCGCAAAAUCCCAGGGGUUUUCCCCAAAAUCCCAGGUUUUUUCCCCAAAAUCCCAGGUUUUUUCCCCAAAAUCCCAGGGUUUUUCCCCAAAAUCCCCCUGGGGUUUUCCCCAAAAUCCCAGUUUUUUUCCCCAAAAUCCCAGGUUUUUCCCCAAAAUCCCAGGUUUUUCCCCAAAAUCCCAGGGUUUUUUCCCCAAAAUCCCAGGGUUUUCCCCCAAAAUCCCAGGGUUUUCCCCCAGAAUCCCAGGGUUUUUCCCCAAAAUCCCAGGUUUUUUCCCAAAAUCCCAGGGUUUUCCCCAAAAUCCCAGUUUUUUCCCCCAAAAUCCCAGGUUUUUCCCCAAAAUCCCAGGUUUUUUCCCCAAAAUCCCAGGUUUUUGCCCAAAAUCCCAGGUUUUUCCCCAAAUUCCCAGGUUUUUCCCCCAAAAUCCCAGGGGUUUACCCCAAAAUCCCAGGUUUUUUCCCCAAAAUCUCACGGUUUUUUUCCCCAAAAUCCCAGGUUUUUUCCCCAAAAUUCCAGGUUUUUUUCCCUAAAAUCCCAGUGUUUUUCCUCAAAAUCCCAGGGAUUUCUUUCCCUAAAAUCCCAGGAAUUUUCCCCAAAAUCCCAGGUUUUUCCCCAAAAUCUCAGGUUUUUUCCCCAAAAUCCCAGGUUUUUCCCCACAUUCCCGGGGUUUUUCCGGCACCGUCCACGCGGAUGGACAGCAGCCCGUAACCGGGACCCCGCGCCGCUGCCGGGAGAACACCGUGGGGAAAAUCCAUGGGAAAAACCCUCGGGGAAGCCGUCCUGCCGCUCCCAGGGAUCCCCAAAAUCCCGGGAAUCUCCUUCCCCAAAUUCCCAGGUUUUUUCCCCCAAAAUCCCAGGUUUUUUCCUCAAAAUCCCAGGGUUUUUCCCCAAAUCCCAGGGUUUUUCCUCAAAAUCCCAGGUUUUUUCCCCAAAAUCUCACGGGUUUUUUCCCCAAAAUCCCAGGUUUUUUCCCCAAAAUUCCAGGUUUUUUUCCCUAAAAUCCCAGUGUUUUUCCUCAAAAUCCCAGGGAUUUCUUUCCCUAAAAUCCCAGGAAUCUCCUUCCCCAAAAUCCCAGGUUUUUCCCCAAAAUCCCAGGCUUUUUCCCCAAAAUCCCAGGUUUUUUCCCCAAAAUCUCAGGUUUUUUCCCCAAAAUCCCAGGAUUUUCCCCACAUUCCCGGGGUUUUUCCGGCACCGUCCACGCGGAUGGACAGCAGCCCGUAACCGGGACCCCGCGCCGCUGCCGGGAGAACACCGUGGGACAAUCCAUGGGAAAAACCCUCGGGGAAGCCGUCCUGCUGCUCCCAGGGAUCCCCAAAAUCCCAGGGAUCCCCAAAAUCCCAGGGAUCGCCAUCCCCAAAAUCCCAGGUUUUUUCCCCAAAAUCCCAGGAUUUUUCCUCAAAAUCUCACGUUUUUUUUCCCCAAAAUUAAAGGUUUUUUUCCCCAAAAUCCCAGGAUUUUUCCUCAAAAUCUCACGGUUUUUUUUCCCAAAAUUAAAGGUUUUUUUCCCUAAAAUCCCAGUGUUUUUCCUCAAAAUCCCAGGGAUGUCUUUCCCUAAAAUCCCAGGAAUCUCCUUCCUCAAAAUCCCGGGUUUUUUCCCCAAAAUCCCAGGUUUUUUCCCCAAAUUCCCAGAAUUUUCCCCAAAAUCCCAGGUUUUUCCCCAAAAUCCCAGGUUUUUCCCCAAAAUCCCAGGUUUUUUCCCCAAAAUCCCAGGUUUUUUCCCCAAAAUCCCAGGUUUUUCCCCCAAAAUUCCCGGUUUUUUCCCCAAAAUCCCAGGGUUUUUCCCCAAAAUCCCAGUUUUUUCCCCCAAAUUCCCAGAAUUUUCCCCAAAAUCCCAGG
rnacentral:lncRNA from 1 species